rnacentral:rRNA from 1 species
GGAGAAAGCGCCAAACGCUCCGGCGCCGCAGGAUGCGACUGCGGCCGAUUAGGUAGACGGUGGGGUAACGGCCCACCGUGCCGAUAAUCGGUACGGGUAGUGAGAGCUAGAGCCCGGAGACGGACUCUGAGACAAGAGUCCGGGCCCUACGGGGCGCAGCAGGCGCGAAACCUUUACACUGCGCGACAGCGCGAUAGGGGGACCCCAAGUGCGAGGGCAUACAGUCCUCGCUUUUUCCGACCGUAAGGUGGUCGGCGAAUAAGAGCUGGGCAAGACCGGUGCCAGCCGCCGCGGUAAUACCGGCAGCUCGAGUGAUGGCCGCUAUUAUUGGGCCUAAAGCGUCCGUAGCCGGCUAGACAGGUCCGUCGGGAAAUCCACCCGCUCAACGGGUGGGCGUCCGGCGGAAACCAGCUAGCUCGGGACCGAGCGACCUGAGGGGUACGUCUGGGGUAGGAGUGAAAUCCCGUAAUCCCGGACGGACCAUCGGUGGCGAAAGCGCCUCAGGAGAGCGGAUCCGACGGUGAGGGACGAAAGCUAGGGUCUCGAACCGGAUUAGAUACCCGGGUAGUCCUAGCCGUAAACGAUGCUCGCUAGGUGUGGCGCUGGCUAC